UCCUAUUUUUGAAGUAAAGCAGGAUGUAAAAUCAAAAUUUAGUAAAGAUGCAAUAUUUAGGUUAUUUCAGAUGCAGAUUUAUUAAAGAACAUAAUACCCUGUAAAAUAAUCGUUCGGAAUUAUAGGAGGCUAUAAAAGUAAAUGAACAAUUUAAAGUGGGAGAAUGCAAUAAAAUUUAUUGAUACUUGGGAGAGGGGACUCUUUGGUUUACGGAAGCAUUACUCCAUGGUAAUGGCGGACUCGUAGACUACAUUGUUUUGGAUAAUAGAAAAAUUGAUAAGAUAUGGAACAGAGGGUUACUUCCGAAUGGCGGUUGAUCAAUACGAAAUUUGGAGGAAGAGGAAGGAGGCUCUAAUAAUAGCUGCCAUUGCUGCCGUUUGCAAUGAACAAUCGACGACACGAUACUGAUAUCGACUUCAGGAUUUAUAAUUGCCUCAUCUAAAAUCGACUGCUACUUUUUAGACUAUGUUUAGUUUUAAUUGUAUCCAGUAAUUAGUUUUAUAUAGAUUAGAUUGGA